AGAUGUUGUAGAACUACAACUCCCAUGGUGCUUUGUCAUUCUAAAUACAUUCUAAAGGCAUGCAAAGCAUCAUGGGAGUUGUAGUUCUACAACA